AGACUGAUGUGCAAUGGCCAAGCAGCAGGGAUUAGAGGGCUCUGCUCUUGGCCAACUGUGUGAUCUUGCACAAGUGCUUGACCUCCCUUAGCCUGUUUCCUCAUUAUCAAGAAAACAGAUGGGACAGGCUCAAACAUUCCUAGAGUCUGUUAUGCCAUACAGUCAACUGCAUCCAAAACCCCAGGGAGGUGGCUUCAAUUCCUAUUCUUUUUCUAGAACAUAGUCCUUCCAGGUGAAUGGGAGACUAUAUGCUGAGAUUUUUCCCAGGCUUGCCUCCCUAGUUGCAUGUGGCACACACUGGGAGUGGUCAGAUGAUCUAUUUUCUGUGUAUGUUUGUAGCCAGUUGUUCAGCUCCACUGUGAUAAAAUCAUGAAUCAUGGUUACUGGAUCUCAGUGAAGCAAAUAUGAUGAGGCAGGAAAAAUUUCUCAGAACACAUACCCCAGAGAGACUACAAAUGAACCAUUGCAUUAUUUUUUUUUUUUGCACAGCAUGAGAUCAUUCAUAUUCUUUCACUCUUUUUCAUGAUACACACUCUUUCAUUCCCCAACUCAUACACACCCCAAGUUCGGUCCUUGUCUUCCUACCCAAACUCUUAACUCAGGACAAGCUUUGACUCAAAUGCAGACCCUAAUGUGUGAUGCCUAGCCCAUCUAGUCAGUAAGGUGAGGGCCAGAGCUAGUUACAAAAAGACAAUCUUAAUGAAUCCUCUGCCGAAUAGGAAAUGUGUUCUGUUUGCGAAGCUACUUAACUGAAUUCAUUUAAUUGAAAGAUGGUGCUGAGAAUUCUUUUUUCUUUCAGAAAGGGCUGAAGGAAUUGAAGAGAAAAAUCCUCCCCCAAUAGCAUGCCCCUGCCUAUAUGUCACUGGGAAGUCACAGCAAAUACUGUGAAGAUUACUACAAAUUUAUUCUACAGAGGAUCAGAAUGCCAAAACGCUGGCAGCCAGGAUUCUAUCCUCAAAGCAAGAGACUGGAAGACUUGGAGAACUCAGUCCAGUCAAGAGAAACCUUCUAACAAGAUUGAUAGCAAGAGGUCCUCCCAAAAUGGCUCAUCCUGAUCAUGCUACAGAAAACACCUAGUAGAAGUGCCAAUGGUAAGUACAGACAUUUUGCAAUCUGCUUCUUAGUACUACAGUCUUGAAAAAUGAGCAGUCUCUGACAUAUGAGGUGGAGACCAAAGAUAAAUAAAGCCACUUGAAAGAAAAUAAAAUUACAAUGAUAAAGAAAUAUCAAAAAAUAAUCAUCAGUGUGAGUAGGAAGAUGAGAUAUUAAGUUCAUGAAAUAUGAACAGUUUUUUUUAAAGGGUACACUCAGGGAAUGUAAAGAAAUUCUUAGAAAAUAAAAAUACCAGAAAGUAGACUUCAGUAAAGGAAUUGGAGGGAUUGGGGAGGACGAAAAACUAUAAGAACAUUAGAGGAUAAAUCUAACAGAUCUGAUAUAUGAAAUAAAGGGAAUUUUUAAAAAACUAUAACCAAAAAUUUGUCGAGGAUAAAUUAUAAAAAUAAUAUAGUUGCGGAAAAUUUUCUGAAACUGAAGGACAAGUAUUUUCUGAUUUAAAAAGUCCACUGAGUUUCUAGAAAAAUGGAUUGACUGAAACAGAUCCACACAAAGGGUAAUUAUUGGGAAAUUUCAAAACUCUAAGAAAAAAUGAAAAUUCUAUAAGCUUCCAAAUGGAGGAAAUAUAAAUUUAGUUACAUAAGAUCAGCAAUCACAAUGGCAUCACAACCUCACAACUUACAAAUGACUAUGUAGCAAAGCCUUCAAAGCUACAGACAAAAAUUAUUUCAACUUCAAAUUCUAUGUUCAGAUAAUUUUUCAAGUAAUGAGUGUAGAAUAAAGACAUCUUCAGAUAUUCAAGGGAUCAAACAUCAUUCUGCCCAUACACAAUUUCUAGGGAGUUACUAGAUUGUGUAUUUCUCCAAUGCAAUGUAGUAAACAACAGGAGAAUAGGACACAGGAAAUAGGUGAUCCAAUAUAAGAGAGAGCUACAUAGAAUCCAAAGGGUCAUGGUCAGAUGCCAAGGGGCAGCUGUGCAGCUGGCCCAGAGAGAAGUCUUCAGUCUAGGCUGCAGCAGGACAGAGAACUCCAGAGAAAAGUCUUUAAGAAGAUGGCAUUUUUAAAAAUGCUUGAUAUGUUUUAACGUGAGAAAAAAUUCACACAACUGAGUUGAGGGAAGUUUGGAUUGAAUUAGUACAAAGAAUAAUAAGCAAAUGCAUUAAGAAACUAGUAACUUCAGAGAAAAUUAGAGUGAUAAAAGUAAUCAGAUUAAGCCAUAUGACUAGUUGUGAAUAGAAUUUUUCCAAUCACUAAUAAACACCAAAGAUGUAUCCAGCAA
rnacentral:lncRNA from 1 species